rnacentral:tRNA from 1 species
GGUGAGGUGGCUGAGCGGUCGAAAGCGGCGCUUUGCUAAAGCGUUGUACCUCAAAAGGGUACCCAGGGUUCGAAUCCCUGCCUCACCGCCA